UACGUAGGGAGCAAGCGUUGUCCGGAAUCAUUGGGCGUAAAGCGCGCGUAGGCGGCCUCGUAAGUCCGUUGUGAAAGUCAAAGGCUCAACCUCGAGACGCCGAUGGAAACCGUUUGGCUAGAGUCCGGAAGAGGAGAGUGGAAUUCCUGGUGUAGCGGUGAAAUGCGCAGAUAUCAGGAAGAACACCCGUGGCUAAGGCGGCUCUCUAGUACGGUACUGGCGCUGAGACGCGAAAGCGUGGGGAGCGAACAGG
rnacentral:rRNA from 1 species